GAAUUAAAGUAGCCAGUGGUACCCAACGGUAAGAAAUUGGUACCCAAAACCCCCCAAAGAAGAAUGGCGACUUCCGCCGUAGACGGUAGUAGUGUUGGUGGAAUUUCGCUACCACUUACCUUGUUGCCUCAUCGACGCACUUGCAAUGUCUGGCGACUCCGAUGAUCUCGCAGUCUCCUCAAUUGGCGGAAAGACAGCCCAAAACUGGCUCAAAUGCCGACAACUUCUAUCUUGUUGCCGCUGAGGUUUUGUCUUGUUUCUCGGAGCAGAACCCAUAAGUGGUGGGAAGUUUCGGUGUCGUUGGCGCGUCUUAGUGCCAUCCGCUGCCUGGAAAAAGAUGCAUUUUGGUGAAUCCGACUCAGGUGCAACAACAAUUUUGGAGAGUCUGAGCAACAUAGUUUGAUACUACUUUGACAACAAGAGAAACAUCUUAAAAGGUA